rnacentral:rRNA from 1 species
UAACUGGAGAGUUUGAUCCUGGCUCAGAACGAACGCUGGCGGCAUGCCUAACACAUGCAAGUCGAACGAGAAAGUUUCCUUCGGGGAACUAGUAAAGUGGCGCAAGGGUGAGUAACACGUGAAUAAUCUGCCUACGAAUUCGGGAUAACUCGGCGAAAGUUGUGCUAAUACCGGAUAAGACCACACUCCUAAUGGAGCGUGGCCAAAGGAGUCUCAAACUCCGUUUGUAGAUGAGUUCGCGGACCAUUAGCUUGUUGGCGGGAUAACAGCCCACCAAGGCGACGAUGGUUAGCCGGCCUGAGAGGGCGAUCGGCCACACUGGAACUGAGACACGGUCCAGACUCCUACGGGAGGCAGCAGUGGGGAAUAUUGCGCAAUGGGCGAAAGCCUGACGCAGCAAUGCCGCGUGAGGGAUGAAGGCUUUUGGGUCGUAAACCUCUGUCGGAUGGGAAGAAUAAUGACGGUACCAUCAGAGGAAGCCCCGGCUAACUCCGUGCCAGCAGCCGCGGUAAUACGGAGGGGGCAAGCGUUGUUCGGAAUUAUUGGGCGUAAAGAGUAUGUAGGCGGCUUAUUAAGUCAGGCGUGUAAGCCCACGGCUCAACCGUGGAAUUGCGUCUGAAACUAUUAGGCUUGAGUGCAGGAGAGGAAGGCGGAAUUCCCAGUGUAGCGGUGAAAUGCAUUGAUAUUGGGAAGAACACCGGUGGCGAAGGCGGCCUUCUGGUCUGUUACUGACGCUGAGAUACGAAAGCCAGGGGAGCAAAGGGGAUUAGAUACCCCCGUAGUCCUGGCCGUAAACGAUGGGCACUAGGUGGAGGAGGUAUCGAUCCCUUCUCUGUCGCAGCUAACGCAUUAAGUGCCCCGCCUGGGGAGUACGGUCGCAAGGCUGAAACUCAAAGGAAUUGACGGGGGCCCGCACAAGCGGUGGAGCAUGUGGUUUAAUUCGA